AGCAGCAGCCCCGAGGGAGGCUGGGUCCCUGGAGUCCGUGCAGAAUUGGCUCCGCCGCCUUGGCAGACGAGGAGGCACUUCGGAGCCCGAGCUGCCUUCGCCAGCUUGCAGCGCCGAGAAGGGAAGAUUGCAGCCCCAGCGACACCCACCAGCACCCGCCAGAAGAGGAGAAGGGGAAAGCUCCGGGGGAAGCCGAGGCGGCCGUCCCCGCCCUGUGCCAGCGCACCUCGAGCAAAGCCUCACCAAAACCCCCUCGCUGCCUGCAGCCAGCGAGCUUUCGCGAGCGGGGCUGGGGCUCCCUGCAGAAGCUACCUUCCUCCCGCCACCAGGACCGAGGAGCAGCCGCGUCUCUCCACCCGAUCCCUCCCGCAGCAGCGGCGGCGUCGCAGCCUGGGCACCGAUUUCCGUGGAGAGGGGAGGGCAACGCUGCGAUGGAGGUGUCAACCUGUGGGCUGCUGCUGCUGCGACCCCUCUCCUAAAACGCUUGCUCGUUUGCCCCAAGACGCUCUGCGGGUGCCGCGGCGGGGGGUGCUCGGGUGCGCGCGUGUGUGCGCGGUGGAGAAGGCGAGGCGAAGGCGCACGGGGCGCGCGAGGGAAGAAGAGCGAGCCAGCCUUUCCCCGGCCAGGUUGGGAGGCGACGGGAAGGUGGCGGCGAGCAGAGGGGAGGCGGGAAGUCCCCGCGCCCUUCCCGGCUUCGCGCAGCAGCAAGCGCGCAAGAGAUGCCCCAGCCGCCGCCAGCUGGCACCUGCGCUGCGCUGCGAUGAAAGGAUUAAUUGAGUUGCUUUGAACCGCGGAGGGGAAGCGGCCGGCUCUGGGGACCGAGCAAGGGAAGCCGUCGGAGGGAAGUUGGACAGCGAGGCAGUCUCCUUUGCACCCUCCCUCCUUCGCAGCCCAGCCUUCCCCUCUUCUUCUUUUUUUACAGGGUCGUGCCAAGCGAACCCAGCGAGCGGCAUCUGCAGGAGCUUCGUGCCCACAGGGCAGCAUCAGCGCUGAGAGGACCGGCUUGUCUCCCGCAUUGCUCUCCCUGCUGAACCGAAGCCGUCGCUCAGCAGCAGCAGCAGCAGCGAAAAAACAAGCUCAUCAGAGCAGGGGGAGCGGUUGCGCAAUUCUGCCCAGAUUGUCUUCCCUCCCCUUCCUCUCAACUCCCCCCCCCACUCCACCCCAACCCCCAAUGCUGCUCAACUCCCGAGGAAACAGAAAGCUGAUUCAUGGAGCCCAGACCCAGCUUCCUCUGUGCUGCUCUCCUUUUGAAGAUCAGGAUGCUUGCUCCUGCUGCUUGAGACUUUGUGUUAACCCCCUUGCUCUCCCCUCCCCCAAGCCGAGGGGAGCGAGGGGGAGGGAAAAGGCUCCCUGCGAUCUCUAGCCUUUUCUCUGUUUUGGAAGUGUGGUUACUGGCUGGCUCAAACCUGGGAAACAUUGAUGCAUCGCUCUGGAAAUCCAUUGUGUGACUUUCUGGGUAUUUGCUGAGUUCCAACCCGAGAUGCAGCUCUUGAAAGCUUUAUGGGCAAUAGCAGGAGCAGCUAUCUGCUGUUUUCUUAUCUUUGUCAUCCACUCCCAGUUCCUUAAAGAAGGUCAAUUGGCUGCAGGUACAUGUGAGAUUGUUACGCUGGACAGAGAUAGCAGUCAGCCCCGAAGGACUAUAGCCCGACAAACAGCUCGUUGUGCAUGUAAAAAAGGACAGAUUGCCGGUACAACGAGAGCAAGGCCAGCCUGCGUCGAUGAUACGACAGCUUCUUUGCUGACUCUUUGGUUUGUUGUGAUGGACUGCUGGCCCAUUUCACGCAUUAUAAAAACAAAACAGUGGUGUGAAAUGCUUCCAUGUUUAGAAGGAGAAGGCUGUGAUUUGCUAAUCAAUAAAUCAGGCUGGACCUGUACACAACCAGGUGGGAGAAUAAAGACAACUACGCGUAACUAUGAUGACAAAAACUUCUCUGAAUAUAAUUGCAUUUGGAGGUGUUCACUGUCUGAAGAGGUGUCUGGUCCAAGUCUGAAUUAAAGAUAAAGAAUCCUAAGAAGGGAGAGCAGGAGGGGCCUUGAAGCUACUCAUCAACAGUUAGCACCCGGACAGCAGACUGAACAGAAACACAGGUCACCCGGUCACAGUCUUCGCUACUAUGGUCUCCUGACAAAUGCAGCAACAGAGAAGCCUUGUAGGAGUUUUUAAGCUCUGCGUGGGCUACAUUCCCUAGUCAAGUUUCACGGCUGUGGAUCAUCCAUUAUAUGUCAUCAACUCAACUGUCUGUUUCUCUGUAUUUCAUCAAAGACAGCAUAAUUCUACGUUAUGAGCUAAAGUCUGUUCUACCAUACUAAAGAGCACUGGACUAAGGAAGAGAGAGAGAGAAAUGCUUGGGCAUUAGCAAUACGAAAACAAAACAAAACACCAGUUAACGUCUCAUCUGCGUUUUGCGCCACUGCUGAACUUGAUCUGUGGUCAUGUUUAAAUGGGAAGAGUCAACUACACUGGAGAGUAUUCAUCCCAAUCAGCCUUAGAGAAGACUGUUUUGUCUACGGGAGGACACUAAGGUGCAGGAGGCAAUUUCUUCUUGUGCCCUAGACUGCCUAAUUGCUUUUAUUUUCUUAUGUUUCAGUAUAUACAAUAGACCAAAGAGCAAAAUCUAUUUUAAAGUGGACACGAUGUUACUGUUAACAAGGUUAUUUGGGUUCAGUAGUAUGGGGAACACCUUGCACGGAUUCAACUCGCCCAGUGCUGCAAUAUUGCCCUCCAGCCAAAGUCCUUGUGGAACACUGCAGAAAAGGCUGGAACUGCUCUUGGGGAAAGGUACAUGGAAAAACACUAGGGAACAAGGAGGGGAAACGGCCGUUCUUCAACAAGAAAACAGAACUUUGAUCAAAAACAACACAAACUGUCUACGCACCACCUUUACUCCUCUGUGCUUAGAUUGACUUCUCGUACUAAAAAUCAUUUUGAGUUUAACCAGUUCAACAUGCCUCUUCUAUGGUUCCAUUUUUUGAUCGUUAAAAGUUGGAUAAUACAGUAUUUGCAAAGAGCAUGUUUGGUCAUCUGUGGCCUAUGUCUCAUCUGAUACACCAUUUAGCACCAGAAAGCAAAAUCCAAGGGGCGGGGUGGGGGGGAAGUAACACUUGUUUGAAAGAGAUCAUUAAAUGUAUUUUGAAAAGCCUAAAGUUAUAUAUUUAACAGUUUUUAUAUGUUGUAUAUUUGUAGAAAAUCCUAUUUAACAAUUAACGUGGUAACUCUGACAGUCAUGACAAAAAAAGAAAAAAAUAUGGAUCAGAGUUGAGUUGUUGUUUUAUUACUUCAGUUGUCUCUGAAGUGACUGGUGUAGUUUGCUUUCUUCCAUUGGGACAUUCUGGAUGUAAAGCAUGACCAGAGAGGACUCUGUAGAAAAAGCAAAGAAUAAUGUUGUUUAUAUUACAUAAAUGCAUUCAACCAUUGCACUGUUAGAAGGCUUUCUCUCUCUUUCUCCCCCCCCCCUUUCAUUUUCUCCCUUUUUCCUUUGAGGGGGGUGGUCUUUUGUAUACCAGUCAAAAACAGUGUAAAAUAUUUUAAUCAUUUACUUCCCAUACUGAGUUAAGUUCUUUUUUCUCUCUCUUCUCUCCCCCUCCUUUCCAAUUUGGUAUAAGGGUCAGCUUGCUCCUUGACGAGAUAUAGGUGGUCUGUUUGUUUUAUCUCAUACUUUAGAAAGUCCCCUUGUCCAAUAUUAUGUAGGGCAGUGAAGAGUGCUAUUUAAGAAACGAGAGCAGGAAAGAAGAUAGAGUCUAGACCAAUAACCUCCAAACAUGGUACCUUUUUGUCUACUACAAGUAUUGCUCACAGUGAUAUGACGAGGUCAACAAAUGAGCUUUCCUCCUUCCCCCCAAAUAUUUGCCGAUAUUAAACUUUCCCCCCAGUGUCCACUGUAGUAUACUACCUAAAUACUCCAAUUAACUUUUAGUGUUAUGCUAGUUCUAUGCUACUAAAGAAAAAAAAUAUAUAGGGAUUGUUCAAGCAACCAUAGAUGAGAGGUAUGAAAAAGAAGUUCGUUUAUUUAAGACCUCUUCCAAUUUUCAGGAUUAUUUUAAUGCACAGGUUGAAGAAACCAUGAAUUGUAGGUGAUAGUGUCUAUGAAUAAAACAUGUACAUGGACGGUCUUAUUUCAUCCUAAGGGUUUUGAUCAGUGUCCAAGUAGCAAUUAAAGCCCAGCCACUUGAAAAGCAUUAUGAACUGACUGCACUAUAAAUGACCAAUGUCUGAUUCAAAGUGUCAUGCAAUAAAUGAUCGCAGAUACUUCACCUGUAUUACAAGAAAUGGAGAGCCAGAUCCCCCACUCCGCUGAUUUUCUCUUCUGUUAUGGUUUCAUUUUUUUAUUUUUCAAGGGAGUGUAGCAGCCUUAUUUAGUAAAUACUGAACAAAAAAUUAAAAUGUUUCAACAUUUUUGUUGCUUUACAGUAUUCAGUUUUGUGUUGGUUCAGCUAAAUUAUGAAAAAAAUAAAGAAAACCCUUUUAUAA